GGAGAGAUAAAUACAAAUCUGUAGUUCAAAGAUUUAUUGAGUCUUUCCUUAUACAUCUGCUAGCUGUGCCACGGUAACAAAUCUUUCAAUGUCUCAAAUCUCUAUGUCACUGUCUGCAGUACAAUUUAGAGAAGACGGUAUGACAGAAACUGCUUGGCCUCCCUUUAAUGGGCCCUAUACGUUGGUCUCCCAUAUUUCCUUGAAAAAUUUGAAGCCGAAUUAUGUUGAGCGUCCCUUCGUCAAUGACACCAGAGAAUAGAUUCUUGAACUAAAGGGAAGCUGGGA
rnacentral:misc_RNA from 1 species